GUUUGAUCCUGGCUCAGAACGAACGCUGGCGGCGUGGAUAAGACAUGCAAGUCGAGCGCUGAUUACAGGGUAGCAAUAUUCUGUGGUCGGAGCGGCGCAAGGGUGCGUAACACGUGGGUAAUCUGCCAUGAAGUUUGGAAUAACUUGCUGAAAGGCGAGCUAAUGCCGGAUGUGACAAUUGGAUGGCAUCAUUUGAUUGUCAAAGCUGGGGACCGUAAGGCCUGGCGCUUCAUGAUGAGCCCGCGGCCUAUCAGCUAGUUGGUGAGGUAACGGCUCACCAAGGCUAAGACGGGUAGCUGGUCUGAGAGGACGACCAGCCACACUGGAACUGAGACACGGUCCAGACACCUACGGGUGGCAGCAGUCGAGAAUUUUUCACAAUGGGCGCAAGCCUGAUGGAGCGACGCCGCGUGGGGGAUGAAUGACUUCUGGCCUAUAAACGCCAGACAUUUGCAGAACAAUUGGAGUA
rnacentral:rRNA from 1 species